rnacentral:rRNA from 1 species
GGAGUUAGCCGGUGCUUCUUCUGUGAGUGAUGUCCUUCCUGCCGGUUAUUGACCCGCAGGCCUUCUUCCUCACUGAAAGUGCUUUACAACCCGAAGGCCUUCUUCACACACGCGGCAUGGCUGGAUCAGGGUUGCCCCCAUUGUCCAAUAUUCCCCACUGCUGCCUCCCGUAGGAGUCUGGGCCGUGUCUCAGUCCCAGUGUGGCUGAUCAUCCUCUCAGACCAGCUACGGAUCGUCGCCUUGGUGAGCCGUUACCUCACCAACCAGCUAAUCCGACAUAGGCUCAUCCGAUAGCGCGAGGCCCGAAGGUCCCCCGCUUUCCCCCGUAGGGCGUAUGCGGUAUUAGCCUGGGUUUCCCCAGGUUAUCCCCCACUACCGGGCAGAUUCCUAUGCAUUACUCACCCGUCCGCCGCUCGCCACCAGGGAGCAAGCUCCCCGUGCUGCCGCUCGACUUGCAUGUGUUAGGCCUGCCGCCAGCGUUCAAUCUGAGCCAGNGNACAACUCANACGNGCGGCGGUCGUCGACGACGGCGACUAGAG